AGCAGCCGCGGUAAUUCCAGCUCCAAUAGCGUAUAUUAAAGUUGCUGCAGUUAAAAAGCUCGUAGUUGAAUUUCGGGACCGAUAUAUCGGUCGUACCUCGGUACGUACUGGUAUUUUCGGUUUCUCCCUUCUGACGAACCUUGAUGUCAUUAAUUUGGUGUCUUGGGGAAUCAGGACUGUUACUUUGAAAAAAUUAGAGUGUUUAAAGCAGGCUCACGCUUGAAUACAUUAGCAUGGAAUAAUGAAAUAGGACGUUUGAUUCUAUUUUGUUGGUUUCUAGGAUCGACGUAAUGAUUAAUAGGGAUAGUUGGGGGCAUUAGUAUUCAAUUGUCAGAGGUGAAAUUCUUGGAUUUAUUGAAGACUAACUACUGCGAAAGCAUUUGCCAAGGAUGUUUUCAUUAAUCGAGAACGAAAGUUAGGGGAUCGAAGACGAUCAGAUACCGUCGUAGUCUUAACCAUAAACUAUGCCGACUAGGGAUCGGAUGAUGUUAAUUUUUAAUGACUCAUUCGGCGCCUUACG
rnacentral:rRNA from 1 species